UGAAAAAUCAUUAAAACUUACAUUUUUCCGUUGAUGUCUUUUGAGAGAAAAGAAAUAUUUCUGCAAUUGAGAUUUUUGCAUACAUAUUUUAAUAUUUUAAAAUUAUCAAUUUUAUUUUGACUUUAUUUCCAAAAAUAAAUAAAUUCCAAUCUCCUCUUCACUGAAAAAUGAGCUCAUUUGAAUUAGGGAAAAUAGGCAGAUUGAAGUAAAGCACGCCGGCGACAACUUGGGUAAUUUUCUUCACUUUCCAAUGCUUAAUAUUUUGUGUUUCUUAUGAAUUAGUAACUUCUUUAUGUAUUUUGUAAUUUUUUAGUUAAAUUUGGGGAUUUGCUUUGAAUUGUUUUGUUGAUAUUAAACUACUCGUAAUUUUGGGAUUAUGCUUAACAAUAAGGUUCGGUUUGACCAUAGAUUUCAAAAUUGAAACUUGAAAAUUUGAGUUUUUGAAGCUGUGAUAUGUCUUUUACUUGAAAAAAGUUUGAAAUUUUUUGAGUAGAAAUGAAAUUUCUUCAAAAACAGAUCAAAUUUCGAUAGUUGAAGGUAAAAUCUAUGGGUGACUGCUAGCUAAGUCCAUUGUUGAUUGUUGAAACAGGUAAUUUUACUAGGUAGCUUAAAUCAUAGCAGUUGCUGAAAUUUCUGUCGUAUACCGGGUAACUUUCAUUGCCAUGAAAGUUGCAAUGUGUGUGUUAACAAAUUUGAAUACACAUUUUAUUGUUUUCAGUACUAGGUUCUGGCCAAGGUAAAACACAUGCCUUCAAUGAUAAGCAUUUUUUUGAACUAGCAUUUGUUUCUAGUUGAAGUUAUCUCUCUAUAAAUUGGUCAGUGUAUAGGAUGGGUUUUGCUUCAAUAGUGAUCCAACAUUUCUAAUACGAUCAUAAGUUUCGCUGAAUGGGAUGACAUUGUCGCAAUGUUACAAAAACUAAACAUUAGAAAUCCUGCUUAUCAUAAAAAAGGAAUACUGAAAGCAAAAAUCACAAUGGUCCUAACUAGCACCUUAAAUCCAUCUAGGUGAGAACCAUAAUCAAGUUUUCUUUUUACAAGAACUUCUGAGAAGAGCUUUUCUCCUUACCUUAACCUUAUUUUGUGGAGAUAGAGAGUGUUUUUUGAUAGACCUUUGGCUCAACUGUAGCAAAUCAAAAUGGUUAUGUAAAAGACAAUAGGAUAGUGAAUAAAACAUGACAACUAAUAUGGAAAGCAGUACAAAACAUUCAGUAACAACAUCUUAAUAAUGCGGUAACAAAAACACAAUCGAUACAGAAUGGUUACAAAUAUGAAAAGGACACUACAUAUGUAAGGCUAAUACUACGACAAACAACGUGCUUCCCUAAUGCCAUGUUAUUUGCAUCCCCACUACUCCCCCUGGCUCCCAUUGCCUCUACUUCUCCCCUAUCUCUGCGCUCGAGCGGGGUUUAAGCCACCCCGUUUGAUCCUCGACUGGUCAAACCAAGUCUUCUUCUUCUUCUUCCUCUUCCUCUUGAUCUUCAAGUCCAUCACCAUAAGCUUAUGUUGGACAGUUGGGUAGUAGGAUUUCACUUGGUAUAACCUUGCAGUCCUUACAAAGGCCUCUAUCCUCGUUCCUUAAAGAGUAGGUAAUCUAUCUGAGUCUUAGCCACCACAAUACUGGAGGUAACCAAGUGAUCCUCCUUCUUCGAAAAGCUCAAAUUAUCAUGUUCUAAAAAUUUGUAAGUAAAUGUGUUAAAAUCUCAUGUAUCGAACUACUGAUUAUAUACAGCAGCGGAUCUGCUGACACUUACAAAAGACAACAGAGCUUUACACAAAGCAAGUUCACAAGCCAAAAAUGCUUAAUUUCUUGUAACAUUGAACAAAACUGUGACUAAUUGGUGUCUAAUCUAAAAUGGUACCAAAAUCGCCUGUUUGACAUCAUAGACAUUGGAAACGGAAGGCAUACUCAGCUUGACCUUGACUCUACUUCUUAACAACUAUAAAGAAUAGAUUGCAUGCCUAGAAAUGGGAUUAAUGUAGGCAGCAUUUUUUUCUCAAUUCACAAAGUUGUUUAGUUAAGUGUCAAAAGAGAUUGUUCGGACGACUAGCUUUCAAUGGCAUCCCGAAGUUUUGAUAGACUCUGAUUUCCCCUCCCGAGCUUGCUGUCACAAUUACCAUGCCCCAUGCUGUGGAUUGGAUAAUGUUAUUUCCUUGGUUGUUGCUACCAUCAAACCUGCUGGACGAAGACACAGAAGGUGAGUCGCCAUCUCUGAUCGAUGGAGAACUCGAUGAAAACGAUUCACUAGCACCAACUCCAGGAUCUGUUGGAGAUUCUUGAGCUGAGUCCUCAUCUUGACAAGUUUGGAUUUUUUCCGCUGCACUGUUUUUCUUGGCCGGCAGAGGUGGUAAAUUCCUCUUGCUAUUUGCACCAGCCGAGUUGUCUUCCCUCGUGGGAGAGCCACUGAUGGGAAGUGGAGGUGGUGGGGAACGUUUCGAAUCCCUUCUUGAAUGUAUCUGAUCUGCAAGUGGUGGCUGAUUCUUUAUACUGCCAGGCCACGUGAUGGCAACUGAAACAUCUUUACAUGGGAAGUGCUCGUACGAUUGAACAUUUACUACACUUUUAGUUUUACUAGUUGCACUUUUAGGUUCUUCUCUCUUCCAGAUAUACACCUGAGAGUCUUCACUUGCACUUACGAUAUACUUCCCAUCUUGACUAAAUGUAGCUGAAAUUUGGCUGCUUGUAUUCCGUAAACCUGAUGCAAGAUAAUAGAUCCACAGUUUAUGUACACAAUAACCCAUUUCAAGCUCUCCAAGUGAUUAUAUUUUAGGGAAAGUACCUUUAAAUUUAUGGGUCAUUUCCGAUCCAUCAAAAAUUCUGACACGAGAAUCAGCUGAAGUUAUAAGCACUUCUGCUGGAUUCCCUGGAGCAAACUGGACAUGAACAAGUUCAGGUCUUAGAUAGGUCUCCUGCAAAAUAAGGUUACCUAAUGAAUAGUUGAUAUAGAAAAGAGAAAUACCUGAAAACCAGUGACUUUUUUGGCUACGGACUUCUUUUUGGGUUCGAGUUCAAAGCUGUCCUUUUGUUCCAGCUUGCAUUCUAAAUCACAAACACGUCGGAAGUUAACAUUCACAUUUCUCUGCAGAUUAUCACUUUAAUAGAAACCUAUGCAAUGAUUUACUUACCAGAGGUACUGUACAUGCGACAGCUCCCUUUAUGUGAGCCAAUUAAAGCACCCUUCAACAAUGGAAAAACAAAAACAUAUCAGGUGAUACAAUUCACCUUUUCUUAGAGAAUCACAAUUGUUCUAUUUCUUUUGUUGAUUCUUCUAAUAAGUUGAUUCUGAAGAUAGUUGUGAAUGCUCUCUAAUAUGACUACAAUUGAUGGUAAGUUGUUUUUGGCAUGUUGGAAACCAGUAAAAGUUGGAUAUAUAACUACCUCGCCAUCAGGAGAGUAGCAAGUAGCAGUAACCAUUUCAUGAAGAUCUGUCCAGUCCACAACUUUCCGAUCAGAUACAUUCCAAAUUCGAACUUUUCCAUCCAGUGAACCGCUGAUAAAGUGGUCGUCAUCUACUGGAUUGAAGUGUAUGCAGGUCACUGCCGCACAGAGAUUCAUCAGAUGUAAAAAUGUGUGAUGGUAAAUUUAACACGGGAGUUGAUUGAUGAGUAGCUACAAUGUAACGUGGUAUCUCACCAUAAUCGUUAUGUGCAAACAUUUUUAAGCAGGUCUGAGUCUCGAUAUCCCAUAGCCUGACUGUCUUGUCCAUUGAGGAUGAAAGGAGUUGCUGCAUCAAAAUUUCAUCUAGCAUGUCAAGUCAAGAUUUCACUGGAAUAAUCUCCUUAUCAGAUAAUUCCUUCUUGUUCAGCAAUUGACAUUUUAUCUCACUCCAUUUCGUUUUAUAUGAUGUAGUUUGACUGUUGUGGAGUUAUAUAAAUAAAGAAAUACCUUUGACACAUAUCAGUAGUGUGUAAAUGCACAUCCCUAUGUCUAUAAGAGCAUGUCAUUAAGGAUAAUAUGAAUUCUUAGAGCUAAGUUUAUUGUAAAUAUAGAAAGGUAUCGUUCUUUUUGGUACAGAUUAGAAGGAAACGGAGUAGUAAACUGAUAUGAGCAUGAAAACUGACCUGAGAACUUGACCAAGAUAGGUCCAGGACAUCAUCUUGAUGACCACUGAAAGUGCAUACUGGUUUGUCUGAGAGAGCAAAUACAAUUUCAGGUACAUUUACAUACUCUGGAAGUGAGUUUCCCUUCUUUUUAUUAGAAGUCUUCCCCUUUUUCCUUCUUUCUGAUUGCAUAUUAGUCAUAACUGGCAGAGGUGGACGAUCCGAAUUACUACCAGCCAUUGGUGUGUCACUGACAGAAUUCGGAUCAUCGGAUUGUUUUGUAGACAUAACAUCACAUUCUUGCACUUCCCAUACAUGAAUCACCCUGUCUUCCCCUGCAGUUGCUAGAUACCGACCAUCCGCGGUGAAUCUUAUGGUCCAUAUGGAGCCUUCAUGAGCUUGAAUUUCCUGACACAAUUGCAAAGCUGUGAAUUCUUUGUGAAUCUUUCCUUGCUGCCGCGCUUUAAUCCAUUGGGAGGAAUUCUGUUUCUGUUUCUGUUCCACUAGUGCAGGUAUCUCAAUUUCUUUAUCAACUUUUGACAUGCUCAUACUAUUUGCAACUCCUUUUAUGUUCUUCAAUAGAGCAACUCCUGUUUUCUUGCUAUAUCUGAAACUCUUGCUGAGAUACGCAUUUACGUUAAGUUUUCUUUCAUCAUUUGUUGAAACAUUUGCACGGCGCAUCAGUUCCUUAACAACAGGUGAGUAUCCCACAGAUUUCUCAAAUUCCUCCAUGGAAAGUUGCUUCCCUGUUUGUAGAUCACUGAGCUUAUUCCACAUUCCCUCUUCAUUGGACUCUUUAACAAUGAAUUCAUUUCCAGUGUCCAGAUUUUUUAUCAGGAAAAACGAAGCAAAUCCCGAAUCAGCAUUUCCAUUUGGCAAUGUGGAUGAUGGUGUUUCACCUCCAUUUUGUGGUGAUGUAGAUUUACAUGUUCCCUUUUUAUGCGGCACCAUUACAGCAGCAGAAUUUGUAUACUGGCAUAUUCUUGUAGCUGGUCCUAAAACUCCUGAAAAUGUCCUGGUAAGACGUUGUUUAGAAACGUCUCCGAGUAACUGUUCUUUCCUUUUCUUGGUAUUUACGGAGAAAAACUCUAUGUCACCGUCUGAUCUCGACCUGAGCAGCAAAAUUGGUGGCGAAUUUGAAGCCUCUGGCUCUUGUUCUUGUUCUUGUUCUUCCUCUUGUUUAAUUAGCUCUUGAUUGGAAGGACUAAUCUCAACUUUUGGUAUGGAAGAAUCUUGACAUGUAUCAACUUUUCUUGAAAUGGCUCUCA
rnacentral:lncRNA from 1 species